GAUGAACGCUGGCGGCGUGCUUAACACAUGCAAGUCGAACGGGAAAUAUUUCAUUGCGACUUCGUUCGAUUUGAUUUAUUUCUAUUGGCGGACGGGUGAUUAACGCGUGGGUAACCUGCCUUAUACAGGGGGAUAACAGUCAGAAAUGGCUGCUAAUACCGCAUAAGCGCACACAGCUGCAUUGCUCAGUUUGAACAACUCCGGUGGGAUAAGAUGGAUGCGCGAUGGAUUAGCUAGUUGGUGCGGUAACGGCCCACCAAGGCGACGAUCCAUAGCCGGCAAGAGAGACAGAGCGGCGACAUUGGAAGGAGGACACGGCGGAGACUACUGAGGGAGGGGGGAGAGGGGAAUAUAGCAAAAUGGGGGAAGCGAAGAAGCAGCGACGACGGGUGAAGGAAGAAGUAUCUCGGGAAGUAAACUACGAUCAGCAGGGAAGAUAGUGACGGUACCUGACUAAGAAGCCCCGGCUAACUACGUG
rnacentral:rRNA from 1 species